rnacentral:rRNA from 1 species
AGAGUUUGAUCCUGGCUCAGGACGAACGCUGGCGGCGUGCUUAACACAUGCAAGUCGAACGAUGAACACCGGAGCUUGCUCUGGUGGGAUUAGUGGCGAACGGGUGAGUAACACGUGAGCAAUCUGCCCCCGACUCUGGGAUAAGCGUUGGAAACGACGUCUAAUACCGGAUACGACACCUCCUGGCAUCAGGUGGGUGUGGAAAGAAUUUCGGUUGGGGAUGAGCUCGCGGCCUAUCAGCUUGUUGGUGAGGUAAUGGCUCACCAAGGCGACGACGGGUAGCCGGCCUGAGAGGGUGACCGGCCACACUGGGACUGAGACACGGCCCAGACUCCUACGGGAGGCAGCAGUGGGGAAUAUUGCACAAUGGGCGCAAGCCUGAUGCAGCAACGCCGCGUGGGGGACGAAGGCCUUCGGGUUGUAAACCCCUUUUAGCAGGGAAGAAGCGCAAGUGACGGUACCUGCAGAAAAAGCACCGGCUAACUACGUGCCAGCAGCCGCGGUAAUACGUAGGGUGCAAGCGUUGUCCGGAAUUAUUGGGCGUAAAGAGCUCGUAGGCGGUGUGUCACGUCUGCUGUGAAAAUCCAAGGCUCAACCUUGGACCUGCAGUGGGUACGGGCACACUAGAGUGCGGUAGGGGAGAUUGGAAUUCCUGGUGUAG